rnacentral:rRNA from 1 species
UGGGGAAUUUUGGACAAUGGGCGAAAGCCUGAUCCAGCAAUGCCGCGUGUGUGAAGAAGGCCUUCGGGUUGUAAAGCACUUUUGUCCGGAAAGAAAUCCUUGGCUCUAAUACAGUCGGGGGAUGACGGUACCGGAAGAAUAAGCACCGGCUAACUACGUGCCAGCAGCCGCGGUAAUACGUAGGGUGCAAGCGUUAACCGGAAUUACUGGGCGUAAAGCGUGCGCAGGCGGUUUGCUAAGACCGAUGUGAAAUCCCCGGGCUCAACCUGGGAACUGCAUUGGUGACUGGCAGGCUAGAGUAUGGCAGAGGGGGGUAGAAUUCCACGUGUAGCAGUGAAAUGCGUAGAGAUGUGGAGGAAUACCGAUGGCGAAGGCAGCCCCCUGGGCCAAUACUGACGCUCAUGCACGAAAGCGUGGGGAGCAAACAGGAUUAGAUACCCUGGUAGUCCACGCCCUAAACGAUGUCAACUAGUUGUUGGGGAUUCAUUUCCUUAGUAACGUAGCUAACGCGUGAAGUUGACCGCCUGGGGAGUACGGUCGCAAGAUUAAAACUUAAAUGAAUUGACGGGGUCAUAGCUGUUUCCU